rnacentral:rRNA from 1 species
GACGAACGCUGGCGGCGUGCAUAAUACAUGCAAGUAGGACGCAGUUGCGAACGGGUGAGUAAUGCGUAGGUAACUACCUCUCCGAGGGGGAUAACUAUUGGAAACGAUAGCUCAUACCGCAUACUAGUAGAUGGACCUGCGUUGUAUUAGCUAGGAGGUAGGGGAAAGGCCUACCUAGGCAACGAUACAUAGCCGACCGGGGAGGAGGAUCGGACACACUAGGAUCGGGACACGGCCCUGACCCCUACGGGAGGGAGCAGUAGGGGAUCUUCGCACAUGGGGGGAACCUUGACCGAGAAACGGCGCGGGAGUGAAGGAGGGGUUCGGUGUGUAAAGCUUUGUUGUUAAGGAAGCGGUACUUAACGAGAAAGGGACGGCUAACUACGUGCCAGCAGCCGCGGUAAUAC